UUAAUUACGGCUAACCUUGCAGUGAUUCAUUGUUACUGUCAGGUGAGCUAGCCAGCUUGGUGCUGCCCCUAACCUUCAUCAGAUAAGUUCUGAUUAGAGCAAAGAUGGCCCACACCAUUGAGAAGAAUGGUCGUACAACUACCUAAUAAGUUCUUGGUUAAAUAACUCACCAGCAUUUUGUAAAUAAAACGUUUUAUCUAAAAUCCUUGCAUCGAAUAGGAGUAAUAUCCUUGGGGAUCCCAGCAGAUUUUGCAUUGGUUAAGACUACUAUUAAGUGCUUGGUAUUGGAAGGGUUUCUUCAUGGUAAUGGAAGUAUUAAUGAAAGGAAUACUACUCUAUGGAGUUUAUUCCAUGGUUAUUGUAAUAAGCAUGCUUGUGUAACUUGAAGUUGUUUAGAAUAAUUACUAAAGCUUCAUGCAUGGCACUCUAUUUCAUUUGCAUGACUUUUGUCUCAAAGUAGUACUCAAUCAUUUCAAUUAUAGUUUUAAGAUUUUUUGCAAUAAAUGCAUUGUCUGCAUUAUCAAUAUCUAAUACUGUAAUGUAUCUUGGUGGGCCCAGUGAAAAAGCACUUUCAUUUGAAAAAUUGUUUGUGUGCAUGAAUGGUAUAAUACAUAACAAAAGUUUAUAUUUCAGGGCUAUUUAAUGAUCAUUGGCAUUAUAUAACAUAUGAUACCAACAUUUUAAUUAUGUUUAUUUUUUUUUUCUUUCCCAAGCACACAGGUGUUUUGUAGUUUAGCUCAGGAGACCCUAUUAUAGUUAGAAGUUGUGUUUGUUGUAUUUAGAGAAGUAAGUAGACUACUCUUAAUUAGCAUAUGCUUCUGUCCCCACCCUAAUCCUCCUCUAAAUUCCUUUGCUUGGUCAUUUUAUAUGAAACAGUUAAAAGUGUUCCAAGUAUAGGUAGUUUUAUUAAAAGUACAUUUAUUCAUAUUUAAUAAGAAAUUUAGCUGGAUGCAGAAGUGAAAAGGCAUGAUGUUAAAGUAUUUACGUUCAUUAUAAGAAAUCAAACUAAAGGUUAUGCAUAAUUAACAUUGGAAGUGUCCUUAUGAAGAGAAAUGCUUGUACUGUUUGGAAGUAUCCUUGUGAAGAGAAACGCUUGCACUGUUUGGAAGUAUCCUUGUGAAGAGAAACGCUUGUACUGUUUGGAAGUGUCCUUAUGAAGAAAAACAUUUGUACGGUUUGGAUCUUUUUUCUGAAUUGAGGUAAAAAAAAGCAAAAAAAACAUGGAAUAGUAAUUGUGUGCAAUGUUAUGGGUCUCUUAAAUGGAUAUGGAAGCCAUGUUAAAAAUGGAUAUGGAAGCCAUGUAUAAACAAAGGAUGAAUGUUAACUAUAGAAGUGUCAAAAAAAAAAAAAAAAAAAAAACAUAAUCUGAGUAAAGUAGAGAGGGAGAAAGGAUAGUUGACCCUUUUUAUACAAUUGUUGAAAAGCAUUUGCAUUCCAUGCCAAAGAAUACAAUAUUUUUGCGACUCUUUUAACAUCUGACUUACUAUGCGUCAAAGAUUCAUUAAGCUUAUGACUCGACGUGGUUCAGAAGUCACAUAAAGCCAUUGGUCCCGUUGCUGAAUAACCACUGGUUCCAUGCAACGUAAAAACACCAUACAAACAAACAAUCAUUAAGCUUAUGAAUAGCAUGUAAAAGUCUCAGUUUAGUAAUGGUAGAUAUCAGAAGUAAGCAGUCUAAUUGCACCAAGAUGCUAUUAGACAUUAACCAAACUAUUGCUUUUCUAGGCAUAGCCUACAUAUCUGCAUUUUCAGACUUUACUCUUAUAUAUUUCUUGUACUUUUUAUUGUAAUUUAAAAUGAAAAAAUGCAGUUUUGUCCCUGAUGUAGUAGCAUCAAAACAAAGCAAAAUUACUACCAGACAUAUUUCAAGGUGCAGUAUUGUACUUGUGAUUUCCAUAUUAAUAUUUAACCUUGCUUAUAAAAUUAAAAUUUAGUGUAGGGUUUUUUCAUGGUUAGCAGCAAAUACCACACUACCCAAUUUUUCAAAGUAUUCUUGCCAUGAAGGUAAUAUUUAUUAGCCAGUGUAUGUCUUUAUGCCCAAAUUGUAGCAUGGGCUUGCCCUUCACACAACCUGUAAGUUGAUAGUACAUACUGGAUAGUGUCAGCUGGCCCCUGUGGGUAUCAGAUCAGUUAGUGAAACUAAAUCUAUUAAUAUAUGAAAACUAUGAGAAUGUAGGCUGGAGAGAAGUAAAAAUAGUAUGUUGAAAUUAAAAACAGCUGUGAAAUUUCAAAGAUGCCUUUGCAUCACAUGGCAAUGAUGAUGAUGAUGAUUUGGUUUUACCAAUUGGAGAACAAUGUUUUGCCAAUGUUAACAUGGAUAAAUUUGUAAUGCAUGACAGACCAGGCUAUAUACAUCAGUUUUAUAGCUACAGUAAUGAUCCACAUUGUAUAUAUACCAUAAAUUAACAGUUGAGUAUUAUUAAAUGAAAGUGGAUGUUAUGGGAGAUGGUGAAAGUACAGAAGAAAAGUACAUUGAGUUACAUGCUUUUCAGUACAUCAUGUUUACCGAAGGUCCAAUUAACGACAUAGCCAGAACAUUUACUAGUCAUUAAGCAUCUUUUACCUGUAUUUGGAGAAGUAUGUUAGAAAGCGUUAUGAGAAACUGAUAAGUAUUAUAUAUUUAGUACCUUCAUCAUGAGUGUCCAGUCAGGUUAUGAUACUGAUGAUUCCCCUAUUCGCAGCUUGGGAAAUAAAUGGCUCUUAAUAAAAAAUAAAAAAUAAAUAUUCAUGGCCUCCAGAGAGACAGAAGAAAAGUACUAUAUCCACAUACAAUUGCUUCAUGCUUGGCAUAAACCAGUCUUGUGUGUCAUUGUUACUUACUCUUAGUAUAAUAGAAAUUUUCACAUUGCACUAUCCUAAACAUUCAUAGGCUCGUCCCUGUUCGGAAAAAAAGGGAAAAUUAGCGUCUAGAAUUUCUAUUUCCAUUAGUGGUGGUAUAUUAUAUGUGUAUUUGCAUGUGAGAGUGUCUUAUCUGGUUAUGUAGUUGGUCUCUCUCUCAAAGCUGAAUAGUAUCAUACAUGUGCGCUAGCAAGAUAAUUUAUUGACUGAAAAAAAAAACAAUUGCAACAUUAAGAAAAUUUUUAGUCAUAUAAUUCCAAAAUCUCUCCCUUGGCAUGUUAUUGACACACAAAAAAAGUACUACAAUACAAAUAUUUGGGUUGACAACUUGUAACCAAAUCAAACUACCAUGAAACUAUCCAAAAUAAGUGAAUGCUAUUUUAACUUCUCAAUAUAAACAGUCACUUUUCUCAGUUCAGUUGAAAAGUCUUAACAUAUGAAACCUGUAUCUUUUUCAUGUAAAAUUUUAUGGUAGUAUUUUUUUUUAUUGAUUAAAACAACCAAUUUGGUGGUUGAUAAUAUUUAUUAGAACUAGAGUGAUAAAUAAUAGAUGUGGAAUUUAGGAACUGUACAUAUACUGAGCCAGUUUACUGACUGUUUCCAGUGUUAAUAAAAUAUUAUUUCUCUCUUUUGCACCUAAAAUUGCACACAGUGAUUUCAUUGAAGUAUACAGUUACACCUCACAUUGGGAUUGAUAAUGAUUUAACAUUGGUUAUGGAUUUUUUCCAACUGGUUGGUGAUACACUCGGUGUAUGAUAAUGGAACAUAACUUUUUCCAUUAUGAUAAACUUCUGGUGUGGCAGCCUCUUUUAGCUCCUGUUUGUAUACUUUUAGGAUCAGGAUACGUUUAGUAACCUGGGCAGUAAAGAGGGAGCAGUUUUGAAGCACAAUUUAUCCAAGUCAAGAAUUAUAUUUGCCAUAGAUGAUCAUGACCGUUUUAAUCAAAUUUUUACUUGUUGCAUUUAGUAUUUUAUCAAACAUGGAAGUUGAAUGAUAUUCAGCAUUUGAUAGUUUACAGCACUACAAAAAUGGGAAGUAACUUAGUAUGGGCACAGCAGAAAUAUAUGGUAAAAUAAAAAUGAAAACCUCUGGCAAAAUUGAUUAAUUCAUUUGCCACCAUCUAUCUAAGCAGUUACUUGCCAUCACUUUAUUAAUUAAUUAUUUUCUUUUCUUGAGAGCUGUCCACAAUCAGGUCUGUGAACAAUGCUUGGUCGUCUUGCAUUUGUAUUAUUAGGUCAACCCUUUUGAAAUGUGUAUAAACGUGGUUAGAAAAUGGUUAUCACUAUUUCUUUUUUUUUUUUCAUCUGUCCACCUGCCUGUGGUGUUUGCGUAUGGUAACACUUUGUCCCAGGCUUUGGAUAGUUACAUUCACCUUACAAUUAUUAUAAUAACCUAUUUCGAAUAUUAACGGUGUAAUUCGCAUACAGUAAAUUAUUAAAACACUAUUCAGUUGCAAAUGUACACCCAGAUAUCCUUUUAUUUACCUAAAACUUACACAUAGCGUAUGCAGUGUUACCAUGUGCGACCACCACAGGCGGAUGGACAGAUGGAAAAAAACAA